rnacentral:rRNA from 1 species
ACCAGAGCCAUAUCUCCCUGCAGUUCUCGCCUGGUUUCCCACUGAAGCUAAACAGAGUUAGGCAUGGCCAGUACCUGGAUGGGAGAUCUCCUGGGGAAAACUAAGGUUGCUGCUGGAA